GGAGGAAAAGAAACCAACAGGGAUUACCUCAGUAACGGCGAGUGAAGCGGUAACAGCUCAAAUUUGAAAUCUGGCUCUUUCAGGGUCCGAGUUGUAAUUUGUAGAAGAUGCUUUGGGUGUGGCACCGGUCUAAGUUCCUUGGAACAGGACGUCAUAGAGGGUGAGAAUCCCGUAUGUGACUGGUUGCUUUCGCCCGUGUAAAGCUCUUUCGACGAGUCGAGUUGUUUGGGAAUGCAGCUCAAAAUGGGUGGUAAAUUUCAUCUAAAGCUAAAUAUUGGCCAGAGACCGAUAGCGCACAAGUAGAGUGAUCGAAAGAUGAAAAGCACUUUGGAAAGAGAGUUAAACAGUACGUGAAAUUGUUGAAAGGGAAGCGCUUGCAACCAGACUCGCAUUCCGUCGAUCAUCCGGAGUUCUCUCCGGUGCACUCGGCGGUAUUCGGGCCAGCAUCGGUUUGGGUGGUGGGAUAAAGGCCUUGGGAAUGUAGCUUCUUUCGGGGAGUGUUAUAGCCCUCGGUGCAAUGCCGCCUACCUGGACCGAGGACCGCGCUCGGCUAGGAUGC
rnacentral:rRNA from 1 species